GAUGAACGCUGGCGGCGUGCUUAACACAUGCAAGUCGAACGGGAAACCUUUUAUUGAAGCUUCGGCAGAUUUAGCUGGUUUCUAGUGGCGGACGGGUGAGUAACGCGUGGGUAACCUGCCUUAUACAGGGGGAUAACAACCAGAAAUGGUUGCUAAUACCGCAUAAGCGCACAGGACCGCAUGGUCCGGUGUGAAAAACUCCGGUGGUAUAAGAUGGACCCGCGUUGGAUUAGCUAGUUGGCAGGGUAACGGCCUACCAAGGCGACGAUCCAUAGCCGGCCUGAGAGGGUGAACGGCCACAUUGGGACUGAGACACGGCCCAGACUCCUACGGGAGGCAGCAGUGGGGAAUAUUGCACAAUGGGGGAAACCCUGAUGCAGCGACGCCGCGUGAAGGAAGAAGUAUCUCGGUAUGUAAACUUCUAUCAGCAGGGAAGAUAGUGACGGUACCUGACUAAGAAGCCCCGGCUAACUACGUG
rnacentral:rRNA from 2 species